rnacentral:rRNA from 1 species
AUGGUAAUCAAACAUAUGAUGCAUGGCCCUUGUGGUGCAUUGAAUAAAUUAUGUCCAUGCACAAAGAAUCGUCCGUCAUGCAAGAACAAUUAUCCAAGGCCAUUUACCCAAACUACGAUUCAAGGCAAGGACUCCUACCCAAUAUAUAGGAGACGCAAUGAUGGUCGGACUGAAACGGUCCGAUAUUGCAAACUGGAUAACAGGUGGGUGGUUCCUUAUAACCCCUAUCUAUUAAGGAUGUUCAACUGCCACAUAAAUGUUGAGAUAUGCUCAAGCAUUAAAGCCGUUAAGUACCUGUUCAAGUACAUCUACAAGGGUCAUGAUCGAGCAUCUAUAUCUGUAAUUGACAAAGCAAAAGAAGCCGAAAUCGACGAGAUCCAACAAUACCGAGACGCACCUGCAUCUCCCAAAUAUGCACAUGGUUUCAUAUCAUGGCAAAGAGAAAAUAAAGAAUGUUAUCAACCGUGA